CACCAUCAACUGUAGGUAAUACACUGACUAUGGAUAAGUAGCUCAUAUAACCCCACUUCAAAAGAUCCAAACUAUUCCUUCAA